rnacentral:rRNA from 1 species
GACAGAGGGUGCAAACGUUGCUCGGAAUCACUGGGCGUAAAGGGCGUGUAGGCGGGAAGGAAAGUCAGAUGUGAAAUCCCCAGGCUCAACCUGGGAACUGCAUUUGAAACUCCCUUUCUUGAGUACCGGAGAGGAAAGUGGAAUUCCUGGUGUAGAGGUGAAAUUCGUAGAUAUCAGGAGGAACACCAGUGGCGAAAGGCGGCUUUCUGGACGGUAACUGACGCUGAGAACGCGAAAGCGUGGGGAGCAAACAGG